rnacentral:rRNA from 1 species
GGCUCAGGAUGAACGCUAGCUACAGGCUUAACACAUGCAAGUCGAGGGGCAGCAUGGUCUUAGCUUGCUAAGGCCGAUGGCGACCGGCGCACGGGUGAGUAACACGUAUCCAACCUGCCGUCUACUCUUGGACAGCCUUCUGAAAGGAAGAUUAAUACAAGAUGGCAUCAUGAGUCCGCAUGUUCACAUGAUUAAAGGUAUUCCGGUAGACGAUGGGGAUGCGUUCCAUUAGAUAGUAGGCGGGGUAACGGCCCACCUAGUCUUCGAUGGAUAGGGGUUCUGAGAGGAAGGUCCCCCACAUUGGAACUGAGACACGGUCCAAACUCCUACGGGAGGCAGCAGUGAGGAAUAUUGGUCAAUGGGCGAGAGCCUGAACCAGCCAAGUAGCGUGAAGGAUGACUGCCCUAUGGGUUGUAAACUUCUUUUAUAAAGGAAUAAAGUCGGGUAUGGAUACCCGUUUGCAUGUACUUUAUGAAUAAGGAUCGGCUAACUCCGUGCCAGCAGCCGCGGUAAUACGGAGGAUCCGAGCGUUAUCCGGAUUUAUUGGGUUUAAAGGGAGCGUAGAUGGAUGUUUAAGUCAGUUGUGAAAGUUUGCGGCUCAACCGUAAAAUUGCAGUUGAUACUGGAUAUCUUGAGUGCAGUUGAGGCAGGCGGAAUUCGUGGUGUAGCGGUGAAAUGCUUAGAUAUCACGAAGAACUCCGAUUGCGAAGGCAGCCUGCUAAGCUGCAACUGACAUUGAGGCUCGAAAGUGUGGGUAUCAAACAGGAUUAGAUACCCUGGUAGUCCACACGGUAAACGAUGAAUACUCGCUGUUUGCGAUAUACAGCAAGCGGCCAAGCGAAAGCGUUAAGUAUUCCACCUGGGGAGUACGCCGGCAACGGUGAAACUCAAAGGAAUUGACGGGGGCCCGCACAAGCGGAGGAACAUGUGGUUUAAUUCGAUGAUACGCGAGGAACCUUACCCGGGCUUAAAUUGCAGAUGAAUUACGGUGAAAGCCGUAAGCCGCAAGGCAUCUGUGAAGGUGCUGCAUGGUUGUCGUCAGCUCGUGCCGUGAGGUGUCGGCUUAAGUGCCAUAACGAGCGCAACCCUUGUUGUCAGUUACUAACAGGUUCCGCUGAGGACUCUGACAAGACUGCCAUCGUAAGAUGUGAGGAAGGUGGGGAUGACGUCAAAUCAGCACGGCCCUUACGUCCGGGGCUACACACGUGUUACAAUGGGGGGUACAGAGGGCCGCUACCACGCGAGUGGAUGCCAAUCCCCAAAACCUCUCUCAGUUCGGACUGGAGUCUGCAACCCGACUCCACGAAGCUGGAUUCGCUAGUAAUCGCGCAUCAGCCACGGCGCGGUGAAUACGUUCCCGGGCCUUGUACACACCGCC